rnacentral:rRNA from 1 species
UACAGAGGGGGCAAGCGUUGUUCGGAAUUACUGGGCGUAAAGGGCGCGUAGGCGGCCAACUAAGUCGGACGUGAAAUCCCCGAGCUCAACCCGGGAACUGCGUCCGAUACUGGAUGGCUUGAAUCCGGGAGAGGGAUGUGGAAUUCCAGGUGUAGCGGUGAAAUGCGUAGAUAUCUGGAGGAACACCGGUGGCGAAGGCGGCAUCCUGGACCGGUAUUGACGCUGAGGCGCGAAAGCCAGGGGGAGCCAAAGCGGG